UGUUUACUUUCACUUUCGAUUUGGCGAUCACGCGCACUCUGUGUAAAGGAAGCACAUCUUAUAAGAUCAGAUAUCUGUCAAUCUGCUGAGCAGCAAAUCCUUCAGCAUCUGCCAGUCAUCUCUCCUUACUGUCUCGACCCAUGAUCAGUUAAAUCUGAUGGAUGCAGGGUUGCCAAGUCCGCGUUUUUUCCCCAUGGAAUUGGGCUACUGUUGCCAUAUUGAUUUCCCCUGUGGGUUAAAGGUUUGAAAUAAUGCAUAAAUUACAUUUGACUGAAAUGCUUGUAACAUUGAAACAUUUUGCAUUCUACCCUUGAUAAACUGUGGUAGAUGUUAAGUUUUGUGAAGGAUUGCCACUGGUAAGAAGCCUUUUAGCUUUAUGAUCAAUCUGCAUAACAGUGACUGUAAAAUAUGUAUUUUAGGUAUGGAAAUGACAUAUUUUGAGUUUGGAAAUUAUAUAACCCCCCUCAAACCACCCACAAGCCCAACCACCAAUCACACAUCACAUCUCCCCCGUCUGCUCCGGCCCCCACUGUCCUCUUUUUGGAAAACUGAAAUAUGGUCACCCUAUAUUAGAUGACCUACAAGACCUAAAAGCUGUAAAGAGAAAAUCUUUCAAGAUAAUCUAUAUUGUUAAGAUUGCAUGCUUUAUACACAGCUUCUUGCUAAUAAUAAUGUCAAAUAUAUUUGAUAUUAUGCUCAAUGUUCAGUGUAAAAAUAUCCAUUUGUGUGCUAGGUUCACAGACUUUAUAUUUGAUGUAAAAUUCUACAAUUUUAUGUAAACCAAAUAUUACUUAACCACCAAGGACUGUUUAGAGUGUGACUUAUUUAAGACCAGCAUAAAUGCUGUCUAUAUCCACCCUCCCUUAGGCGUGAGAGUGAGAACUCAACCUGGCGUGCAGGCCCACGGCAUGCCCCUUGCCCUAGGUGUGUUUCUGCAGAAUCUGAGGUCUUGGGUCCUGCUUGACCUGGUCUGCAGGGAAGGCCUCUGUAAAGGCAGGUUGUACACCUCUAUCGGUACACUGAAGGGGUUUUCCUGCUCUGAUCUAUGAAUCUGCUUGUUACAAGCGGUAAUUGCUUCUUUAUUCAUAUCUCAAUUCCUUGUGUUCCAAAUCUAAAAGAUAGACCGGUCAUAAAGUAUGCUGGAAGAAUUAUCUGCCUGUUAUUUUUUUUGCAAAGCCUGUCCUGCAUGAUAAUGGAAUAAUUAGAAUUUAUUGUAAAUUCACAUUAUUUGUUAUCAUUAAACAAUAUAAAAAUAAAGCUGUUUUGUGAUGAAAAAAAAAACACGAAUUUAGAGUUCCCACAAGUUGUCUGUCUUUCAAGCAUUUCAUUUGAGUUAAUCAUAAUAACACUGUAAGAACAUAAUUCAGUGUCUUUGGAACCUUAUGGUGGGUUUUGUUUCAUUGACACUAACUGCUGUUUGUGCUGUUUCUCCCACUGUUUCCCACUGUGUUCGAGUAUAUUCUCUGGCCAAUGGAGACAUGUCUGUCCAUCAUCCUCCUGCCUGCCUCUGCUUUCAAAGGGACGAGACCUCUUCAAGGCCCUUUAUCCAGGUCACUCCUAAAGGCAUGUUUAGAUCCAACACAAAGCAAAGAUCUGAUUAGAAAUGAACAGCCAGUUCAGAGGGCUGAUUCUCAUGGGAUUAAUGUUCUCAUCUCAUCUGUAGUAUCGAUAAAUGCCUUUAUUUUACAUUUCUAAUCCAGCUUUUUGGGCUGUAGAUAUGAGAUGAUAUCAAUGAACUUGACAGCAUACAAUGGGUUUUUUAACUGCCAAGCACCCAAAAUAUAAUGAUAAAUAUAAAGGCAGCUAUAUAUUUUUCUGUAUUUAAAACCCUUGUAUUUUGUAUGUGUAAAUUCAAUGAAAUAUAACAUUGAAAAGAAAAGAAAAAUGAAAAAGACAACAGAAUAAUGAUCACUGAAUAACCUAUCCAUAUUCAGCUUUGUGAGGACCUUGCAUUGACUUUAUCCAUUGGUGUGUACCACAGAGGUUCGUUCUUGGACCGUUUUAUAUUCAAGACCUAAAUGGACUGAUUUAGUCACCUUUUGUGUCGGCUGAUGAUUGUGUAUUUCCCCAGGAUAUUUCAAGAAUGUGUGCUUUCUGUAAUGUAUCAAGAUACUGGUAUAUUUAUUCUCUGUAUUGUAGAUGCUGUCUGUUAAAGAAGACUCUUAAAGGAAAUCUCAUCUGGAAAAGGUUUCUGUUUUAGAGCGAGCUCUUACGAGAAUUAAGCUGUUGAUUUUAAGCUGACAAUAUAGUAUGUGGUUUAAUAAGUAGUUCCUCAUUUAGCCUGUGAUAAAGUUUGACAGUUACUGAAUCUGUUUUGUUCUUUUUUUAAAUAAAUGUAGUCAAAUCCAAAUGUAUUCAUGCAGUACAAGCCAAUUUUUGCCUAAACCCAAUAAAUACCUCCUAAAUUUGCAAUUUAUAAGCAAUUCAUUCUUAUAAUUCAUACACCAUAUAUAAUGCAUAUAUACAAUGCAAGUUCCUAAAAUAAAAUAAAUUGACUCAACGUACAUAAACAUUGUUACAAUCUGGUAUUAAACAUUCCAGAUUUAUCAACCAAAAGGUAAUGCUUUUCCUUUUUCAGAAAUACAUGUUUGCAUAUCGUCCACAAAAGUAACCGUUCCUUUAACCACAACUAACCAUUUUCAAUUCUAUUUUCAGGGUAAGUGUUCAAAUUUUCCCUACUUUCAUGGCCACAUGUGACUCCCAAGUGUGAGAGAGAUCCUGACGGCCAGCUGCUGUCCUACUCUAUUAUUGAAGUGCCUUUCAAGAGCUCAUCUUCUUAUCCAUUCAAGGGGGAAAUUACCGACAUCUGUGCACAGCAUAACAAUAUGUUCAUUUUUUGUCAGAUUAUACAGCCAAUAUUUCACAAGAAUAUUAAUAAAUGGUGAAUUUUAAAAUUA